rnacentral:rRNA from 1 species
UUGCUGCUUCGCUGACAACGGCGGACGGGUGAGUAAUGUCUGGGAAGCUGCCUGAUGGAGGGGGAUAACUACUGGAAACGGUAGCUAAUACCGCAUAAUGUCGCAAGACCAAAGAGGGGGACCUUCGGGCCUCUUGCCAUCGGAUGUGCCCAGAUGGGAUUAGCUUGUUGGUGGGGUAACGGCUCACCAAGGCGACGAUCCCUAGCUGGUCUGAGAGGAUGACCAGCCACACUGGAACUGAGACACGGUCCAGACUCCUACGGGAGGCAGCAGUGGGGAAUAUUGCACAAUGGGCGCAAGCCUGAUGCAGCCAUGCCGCGUGUAUGAAGAAGGCCUUCGGGUUGUAAAGUACUUUCAGCGGGGAGGAAGG